CAAACAAUGAAUGACUAUAUUAGAUCGUCGCUUGUAAACAAUGAUCUGUCACAUGGUUGUGUACACAGUUUGAAAAGUGUGUUUAAUUGAAAAGUUAUGUAUUAUUCAUAAUUAGAAAUUACUGCGUUGACAAUUAAUAAGUUCUAUUUAAAUUUAUUCAUAAGAUGCUUACAUAUUUAUUUGUAUACAUAUCAAUGAAACAAUUCAUUAUGGAAUUUUAUAUUCGAUUAGAAGAACAUAUUUCUAUUUCUCAUUUAAUUUAAGGAUAUGUAUAUAAAGUAUUAUGAAAUCUUAACAGCCUUAGAUCAUAAAAAUACAUCAGAUUUUUAGUGCUUGUGUGAUGGAGACUAUUAAUUAUUUUAUAUUGGUAUUUAUUGACACAUGUUAUUAUUAACCAGAAAAAGCUUUAGUUCAGUUGUCUUAUUAUGAAAAUAGAUUAUUCCAACAUGUUCAAUAUAUAUUUGUUGCUAAUAAAAAUUAAAAAUUGCCUAUCAAAGACUUAGCACGGUUUAACCUCAAUUAUUAUUUUUAAAUGAGACUGGGGUACAUCAGAACUAAUUAACAUUUGGAUAUGAAAUUUAUAAUAAUAAAUGAUUUAUUAAUUAUUAAUAAAGUAUCUAUGAAAAUCUAGAUUUUAAUAAGAUCAUUAAAAAAAAUUUUCAGCAGAAAUUAGUUGUUAUAAAGCAAUAAUUAAAAAUCUUUUGACUUAAAAGAAAAUUGAAGUAUAGAUAUAUUAAUUAGUAUUAAAAAAAAUUACUGUAUUUUUUUUCUAUUAAUUAUUUUAUUAGAAUAUAUAAUAUUUCUAAUUUAAAUGAAAAAGACAUAAAUUAAUUUUUAUUGAUGGGGUCUCAAACUAAUUUUUUGGUAGAAGUAAGUAUACAAAAUCACUACCUUUUCUUUUUAUUAAAAAAACUGAUCAAAUUUUAAUCUUAGGUCAGGGCCGUAUACAUGGUACAGUAAUAGGAUCUGAGUUACUAGUAUGUCAAUUAUUUUAAGAGAAGUGUUAAUUUUGAAAUUUCCUUAAUAAAAGAAAGAAAAUUAUUAAUUUCAAAUAUUCUAUCAAAAAUAUAAAAAUUGUAUUUUUGUAUUGUUUACAUAAUGGAUCCUAAUAAUCCAAUGAUAUUUUAAUUCUUGAUUACUGAAAAUUAAAUAAAUGGCUUAUAAAAAAAUGUAUUGUAUACAAAUGUUACAAUCAAAUUAACGUCAUAACAAUAGUGUAAAUUGGGAAAACUUUUAUUUUGGAUUUAUCAUUUACUAUCAAAUAAAUAUAAUUAUCAAUAUUUACAAAAAGGCAUAUGGUAAUUUUCUAGUAUCUCAAUUAAAUUUUAAAAAUACGGCUAUGUUUUGAAUUUACUUGCUGAAGGUUAAUGUCAGAAGUGGUGGUACUUCCAGUAUAAUGUAAUAACUUAAUCCGUUUCUUGAUUUAAAAAUCUUGAGGGCAUAGUUUUGUUGUUCACUAUACAGGACAGUAUUGUCAUCUUGUGGCGUUCCUAAGUGAUGAGAGUUCAUUGAAUGAUUAAUAAGUAAGGAGACAUGGAGGAAAUUAAAAUGAAAAUUUAUAUCAUUAUGUUCUAUAAUUAAUCUAUAUUGUUGAAAAGCUGGGCACUAGUUAAAAAUUUAAACUUAAGUUAACUUAUCUUACUAGUUUUAAUACUCAAUAACUUAUUCACUUAACUAAUGAACUGAAUGUGUAGAAUAAAUCGUUAAAAAUUAAAGCAACUAGUUGCAAUGUGUUAAUAACUAAUAUUGAGUAUUUUAUAUUCAUAAAAUUUUUGAUAUACCAAUUUUUUAUGAUGGUGUUAAUGGAGGAUUUAACUGUUUACUUAUAUAAUUAAUAUUUUUGCAACAUUUGAUUAUUUUAGAGCCGUGGAAAGGCCUCUCAUGCACGAGAUGAGUAUUAACAUAAUUAACAUAAUCACUCGACAGAAGAUAAUAUUGUAAAGUUAAUGUUUUAACCUUUUUGUUUCAUUAAUAUAAUAUUAAAAUUAAAAUGUCUAUCCUAAAUUUACCCGGCACUCUGUCUGUAACCAUUUUUUACUUGGUACUUGAUUAGUGAAUGUAUUUACUACACGGAACUUCUCUAGUAUUAAAUGUAUGAUCCAUACAUAUAUUUUUUCUUUAUUUUAAACAGUUAGGUCAGUACACAUUUUGCAAAUCACAUCUCUUUUACGCAAGAUUUUCAUCAAAAUAGAAAUAAGUGUUUCUGUUGAUGCUGAUUCAGCCAAUACUUAUAAUAAUUCUAAUAUAAAAGUUUUUAAAUUUAUAUUUUAAACUAUGAAAAAAAACUAACUUCUAA